rnacentral:rRNA from 1 species
UAGCGCCGUCGAUGUUUCAUUCAAAGUUCUGCCCUAUCAACUUUCGAUCGUAGGAUAGAGGCCUACCAUGGUGGUAACGGGUGACGGAGGAUUAGGGUUCGAUUCCGGAGAGGGAGCCUGAGAAACGGCUACCACAUCCUAGGAAGGCAGCCGGCGCGCAAAUUACCCAGUCCUGACACAGGGAGGUAGUGACAAUAAAUAACAAUACUGGGCCUUUUCAGGUCUGGUAAUUGGAAUGAUUACAAUGUAAACCCCUUAACGAGGAUCAAUUGGAGGGCAAGUCUGCUGCCAGCAGCAGCGGUAAUUCCAGCGCCAAUAGCGUAUAUUUAAGAUGCUGCCGUGAAAAAGCUCGCAGUUGGAUUUCGGAAGGGGCCUGCCGGUCCGCCGUUUCGGUGAGCACUGGCAGGGCCCACCUUGUUCCCCGGGGACGGGCUCCAGGGCUUCACUGUUCCGGGACUCGGAGUCGGCGCUGUUACUAUGAGUAAAUUAGAGUGUUCAAAGCAGGCCUACGCUCUGAAUACAUUAGCAUGGAAUAACACGAAAGGACUCUGGCCUAUCCU